rnacentral:rRNA from 1 species
UACAGCGGGGGCAAGCGUUGUUCGGAAUUACUGGGCGUAAAGGGCGCGUAGGCGGCCCGCUAAGUCGAACGUGAAAUCCCCAGGCUCAACCUGGGAACUGCGUCCGAUACUGGCAGGCUUGAAUCCGGGAGAGGGAUGUGGAAUUCCAGGUGUAGCGGUGAAAUGCGUAGAUAUCUGGAGGAACACCGGUGGCGAAGGCGGCAUCCUGGACCGGUAUUGACGCUGAGGCGCGAAAGCUAGGGUAGCAAACGGG